UUUUUGUAACUACAGUUUCCAAAUUUGAUAUAUGAUAUUUUAUAAUUCAAGAUAAGAAUGACAGCUGUAUAAAAUUUUAUAAAUUUUCCUAAUUAUCUUCAAAAUCGAAGUUUGUAAUAUAAAACCUAAAAACUAAAACAAAAACUAAUUUUUUAGGACAUAAAACAACAUAAACUUGUCAGGAGAAUGACUGUUGUUAGCAGCUCUAUAUAUAAAGUUAAGACAUACAAACUCGCAGACAUAAUAAAAUUGCUGUUUUUUGAAAGAUCUACAUUAAACUCAAGACAUACAAACUCGCAGACAUAAAAUUAGAUAGUGGGAGAGAUCCAAGACAAGGAAGAAAGCAAGGACAGACACACCCAACGAUUGCAAACAUUAGAUUCAACUUAAG
rnacentral:lncRNA from 1 species